GCAACUUUGUGGUAGCAUUUUGAGUGCAACAUAGACUGGCCCCUGUAUGCAGUACUUGUUAGUUCUAUCAAUGGUAAAGCGAGCAAUAUAUAUCCGGACAUGAAUUAUCUUAUGGUUUAUUCAAAGAUUGGAGACUGUUUCAUGUAAAUAGAUGAUUCUGAUUGGCAAAAAAAAAAAAGAUGAUUCUGCUAUCUGAAAUGUGUUCUUGACUGUUUUCAGAAAACAUCUCUGGAUGAUCUUAUACGCAGCCAUGUACUAUAUGAACUUAGGGCGUAGGUUUAGUCUGAACCUCCUCUGUUUUUCCCGUGUCAAGCAGCUUGCUUAUGCACUUUACACGACCUAACAACGACUUGCAUUUUAUAUGCCAAGGGUGGCUACCUAAACCAUCAAGAUGUUCCCUUCAGUCGGCUGCCUUUCCAACCUCUUGUCGGCAAAACUAAAAUAAACAUCUCAUAUAUUUCCUCCUUUUUUUCCUGCAGGGCC
rnacentral:lncRNA from 1 species